GAUGAACGCUGGCGGCGUGCCUAAUACAUGCAAGUCGAACGCAUAGCGAAAGGUGCUUGCCCCUUUCAAGUGAGUGGCGAACGGGUGAGUAACACGUGGACAACCUGCCUCAAGGCUGGGGAUAACAUUUGGAAACAGAUGCUAAUACCGAAUAAAACUUAGUGUCGCAUGACACAAAGUUAAAAGGCGCUUCGGCGUCACCUAGAGAUGGAUCCGCGGUGCAUUAGUUAGUUGGUGGGGUAAAGGCCUACCAAGACAAUGAUGCAUAGCCGAGUUGAGAGACUGAUCGGCCACAUUGGGACUGAGACACGGCCCAAACUCCUACGGGAGGCUGCAGUAGGGAAUCUUCCACAAUGGGCGAAAGCCUGAUGGAGCAACGCCGCGUGUGUGAUGAAGGCUUUCGGGUCGUAAAGCACUGUUGUAUGGGAAGAACAGCUAGAAUAGGAAAUGAUUUUAGUUUGACGGUACCAUACCAGAAAGGGACGGCUAAAUACGUG
rnacentral:rRNA from 1 species